rnacentral:rRNA from 1 species
GGCUGAAGUCGUACCGUAAGGAGCGGUGGACUGGUUACGAGUGAGAAUGUUGGCAUCAGUAGCGAGAUGUGGGUGAGAAUCCCACAGGCCGAAAACCUAAGGUUUCCUCAGGAAGGUUCGUCCGCUGAGGGUUAGUCGGGACCUAAGCCGAGGCCGAAAGGCGUAGGUGAUGGACAACUGGUUGAUAUUCCAGUACCACUACCAUCGUUAUUAUCGAUGGCGUGACGCAGGAGGAUAGUGUGUGCUAGCUAUUGGAUGCUAGUCUAAGCGUUUAGGCAGUGAGAGUAGGCAAAUCCGCUCUCAUAAUGCUGAGGCGUGAUGGGGAAGGUUCUACGGAACCGAAGUACAUGAUUCCACGCUGCCAAGAAAAGCGUCUAGAGAGAGAAGUAGUGCCCGUACCGCAAACCGACACAGGUAGGUGAGGAGAGAAUCCUAAGGCCGGCGGAAGAAUUACAGUUAAGGAACUCGGCAAAUUGACCCCGUAAGUUCGCGAGAAGGGGUGCCUACGAGAGUAGGCCGCAGAGAAUAGGCCCAAGCAACUGUUUAGCAAAAACACAGGUCUCUGCUAAAGCGUAAGCUGAUGUAUAGGGGCUGACGCCUGCCCGGUGCUGGAAGGUUAAGGGGAACACUUAGCGCAAGCGAAGGUGUGAACUUAAGCCCCAGUAAACGGCGGCCGUAACUAUAACGGUCCUAAGGUAGCGAAAUUCCUUGUCGGGUAAGUUCCGACCCGCACGAAUGGCGUAAUGACUUGGGCACUGUCUCAACAGCAAAUCCGGCGAAAUUGUAGUGCAAGUGAAGAUGCUCGCUACCCGCGAUUGGACGGAAAGACCCCGUAGAGCUUUACUGUAGCUUAGCAUUGAGUUUUGGUAUUGUCUGUACAGGAUAGGUGGGAGACUAGGAAACCAGGGCGUCAGCCUUGGUGGAGUCAACCUUGGGAUACCACCCUGACAGUACUGAAAUUCUAACUGGCGGCCAUGAAUCUGGUCACAGGACAUUGUUAGGUGGGCAGUUUGACUGGGGCGGUCGCCUCCUAAAAAGUAACGGAGGCGCCCAAAGGUUCCCUCAGAACGGUCGGAAAUCGUUCGAAGAGUGCAAAGGCAGAAGGGAGCCUGACUGCGACACCCACAAGUGGAGCAGGGACGAAAGUCGGGCUUAGUGAUCCGGUGGUACCUCGUGGGAGGGCCAUCGCUCAACGGAUAAAAGCUACCUCGGGGAUAACAGGCUGAUCUCCCCCAAGAGUCCACAUCGACGGGGAGG